rnacentral:lncRNA from 1 species
CUGGCCCCGCUUUCACUAACGUUCUCAAAGUGAGAAAAUUCUCAGCUCAAGAUUGUCUCAGAAUUGUCUGAGAAUUGUCUCAGCUGAGAAAUUUCUCAAGUUGGGUUUCUCUAAACUUUUUCUCAAGUCUUGAGAUUUUUCUCAGCUGAGCCGUAAUUUUUUAAGACAUAAGCGGCCAAACAUCAAAGGAGCCGCGUGAACUUUCCCACGAACACGAGUGCAUAGUUGGGGGCAGUGGAUUUAUUCAUUUAUUGAGACGAAAUGAAGCGUUGGGAAAUGUUCAUAAACAACAUGUACAGUUUCAGGAUAUAUCCAAAUUGUAUGUUUGUACAAAGGUAUGGCAGUGUAUUUUCAAUAUUAUAAUUAAUCAGCUUCAAACCUGUCACUUUUGAACCAAUCAAACACACAGUCGAGGGUACUACUACUACUACGUCAUAUUGCAUGUGUUUUCUUUACCAAAUAUGGGAUUAGGUAAACACAGCCAUAUGUUGUUACACUACGUGUGCCAAUGUUAUGUUAUCGGGCAUAUGUUUAUGGGAAUCAGAUAUGCAGCCGUCACAGCCUGUUGAUGAAGAUUCUCAGCUUAUACAGAGGUCAGGCUUGAGCUAUGUGCUGAUUCAGAAGAUGCUAAUGACAGUGGAUAAUCCAUUCUGAGUUGUUCUAGGACCAUUCACCAACAUGUCAAAACACUGAACUGAAGGCAGUAUGUGUACUGGUGUCUGGCCUGUGAUUUCAAGUAUAAUUGAUGUACCUCCUCCUGAUGUAUCUCCUUGAAUACAAUAUAUCUGCCAUGUGAAAGGAACAAGCUGCAAGAUAUACUGUGGAAAUGGGGGCCUAUGUAAAAAACAUUCUAUUUAAAGAAUAUAAGAAAUCUGACACUAAACUACUGAAAAGGUGCACAGGGGACAUUUUUGUGUGUAUAGACUUUCAUCAAGAUUCUGAGAAAGUUGAUUUAUUAAACAAAAAUAGUCAUAUUGUGUCUUCAAAGCUGAAAAGAUUAAGAUCUUAGGAAAACAUUAGGACUCAAGAAAAGUAAUGGGGUUAUGAAACUGUAGUGUUCAACAUUUAAAUUGUUUUUGUUUUUUUUUCACUAUAUUUUGUGAAGAGGGUUCCAUCACAAGAUGUGACAUAUUGGUAAGAAUGAGAUGUAGUUUAUGAAAAAAAGUAUUUUGCUUUAAAUGUGCAGACUUUAAGUUACAUAAAAAAUCAAAGCUAUUACAAUAAAGCUUGAUUAAAAA